rnacentral:sRNA from 12 species
CUGUAGCCAGGACAGCCCUCGGGAACCCCUGGACGCGGUAUCGCCGGAAGUCACGCGUCACGAAAGAACACCGGCAGCC